ACGAACGCUGGCGGCAUGCCUAACACAUGCAAGUCGAACGAGAUCUUCGGGUCUAGUGGCGCACGGGUGCGUAACGCGUGGGAACCUGCCCUUAGGUUCGGAAUAACUCCCCGAAAGGGGUGCUAAUACCGGAUAAUGUCUUCGGACCAAAGAUUUAUCGCCUUUGGAUGGGCCCGCGUUGGAUUAGCUAGUUGGUAGGGUAAAAGCCUACCAAGGCGACGAUCCAUAGCUGGUCUGAGAGGAUGGUCAGCCACACUGGGACUGAGACACGGCCCAGACUCCUACGGGAGGCAGCAGUGGGGAAUAUUGGACAAUGGGCGAAAGCCUGAUCCAGCAAUGCCGCGUGAGUGAUGAAGGCCUUAGGGUUGUAAAGCUCUUUUACCCGGGAUGAUAAUGACAGUACCGGGAGAAUAAGCUCCGGCUAACUCCGUG
rnacentral:rRNA from 1 species